ACUACUUUGCUAUUUACCUUACUAUGCAUAGGGCCAUAUUUCUGACGCAGUAAACACACAGUAAGUUAAAGUCUGAAAUCGUGGACACAAAUACUGAGUCUAAGCUGGAGCAUGCCUCGGCUAAGUCACCUAACCUCUGAAUCUCCAUCGUCUCCAUCUGGUUCCGAAGAGGCCUGUCUAGCUCUAAAAUUUUUCUAAGGCUCUAUUUCUUGAAAACAUUCUACAAUAGACUUCAACACAACAAAACCUAUCCGGCCUGUCUUUCACAUUGCAUCUUCAGCAAAGGCGUUCAACAGAAGUCUGUGGAGUGUAGUGAUAGGACCAGAUCUUUUUAAAAGAGGUUCUUUGUAGUUUACAAGUGAAUUGCUUUUGAGAAAGUCUCUGUGGACAUCUUACUUUGGCUCCUCCUCUAUACAAACUGCUGUGGGAGCCUAAGAAAAGCAGCUUUCAAAUGUGCAAGUGCAUAGAUUUGGUGUUGCUGCCGCCAGGCUGCCACGGCUGCCAGGGGACCGGAGUGAGUCAAAGCAAUUCUACACAGUGCAGGCCUCAAGGUCUUCCCUUUACUUGGCAGCUAUACACUGGGAUCAGUCAUCCAGCUAAAUGUCAAGUGUCCCAAAGUCAUUACUGGUGCAACCGGUUCCAGUCUGAAACUUUCAAAAUGAUAUAACUUUCAAAUCAUUACAAAGGAGAUCUUUUUAUGUUAACAUUGUAAAUGUGGACUAAUUUGUGAAAAAUUAAAAGGGUAAUGAGACCAUGACUCGGGAAUUACAC
rnacentral:lncRNA from 1 species